rnacentral:rRNA from 1 species
UAGGGAAUAUUGGUCAAUGGGCGCAAGCCUGAACCAGCCAUGCCGCGUGCAGGAUUAAGGCCCUAUGGGUCGUAAACUGCUUUUGUACGGGAAGAAACCUCAUUACGUGUAAUGAGUUGACGGUACCGUGAGAAUAAGGAUCGGCUAACUUCGUGCCAGCAGCCGCGGUAAUACGAAGGAUCCAAGCGUUGUCCGGAUUUACUGGGUUUAAAGGGUGCGUAGGUGGAUGAUUAAGUCAGUGGUGAAAGCUUGCAGCUUAACUGUAAAAUUGCCAUUGAAACUGAUCGUCUUGAAUAUGGUUGAGGUGGUUGGAAUGUUGCAUGUAGCGGUGAAAUGCUUAGAUAUGCAACAGAACACCGAUUGCGAAGGCAGAUCACUAAACCAUUAUUGACACUGAGGC